UUACGGCCAUACAUGUUGAAACACCAGUUCUCGCAAGAUCACCGAAGUUAAGCAAUGUCGAUCCUGAUCAGUACCUAUAUGGGUCAUCGCUCGAGAAUACCAGGUGCC